CUGCAGCCCGAGUGGUGAUCGAUUUUAUUGAGCCUAAAGCGUCCGUAGCCGGACUAGUAAACCCUUGGGUAAAUUGGGCAGCUUAACUGUCCAAAUUCCGAGGGGACUGCUAGUCUUGGGACCGGGAGAGGUCAGAGGUACUCAAGGGGUAGGGGCUAAAUCCUGUAAUCCUUUGGGGACCACCAGUGGCGAAGGCGUCUGACUAGAACGGAUCCGACGGUAAGGGACGAAACCCUGGGGCGCGAACCGGAUUAGAUACCCGAGUAGUCC
rnacentral:rRNA from 1 species